rnacentral:rRNA from 1 species
GACGAACGCUGGCGGCGUGCUUAACACAUGCAAGUCGAACGGAAAGGCCCUGCUUUUGUGGGGUGCUCGAGUGGCGAACGGGGGAGUAACACGUGAGUAACCUGCCCUUGACUUUGGGAUAACUUCAGGAAACUGGGGCUAAUACCGGAUAGGAGCUCCUGCUGCAUGGUGGGGGUUGGAAAGUUUCGGCGGUAGGGGCUGGAUUCGCGGCUUAUCAGCUUGUUGGUGAGGUAGUGGCUUACCAAGGCUUUGACGGGUAGCCGGCCUGAGAGGGUGACCGGCCUCAUUGGGACUGCGAUACGGACCAGACUCCUACGGGAGGCAGCAGGGGGGAACAUUGCACAAUGGGCGGAAGCCUGAUGCAGCAACGCCGCGUGCGGGAUGCCGGCCUUCGGGUUGUAAACCGAUUUCGCAUGUGAUGAAGAGUGAGUGACGGUAAUGGGUAAAGAAGCACCGGCUAACUACGUG